GAUUGAACGCUGGCGGCAGGCCUAACACAUGCAAGUCGAACGGUAACAGGAAGAAGCUUGCUUCUUUGCUGACGAGUGGCGGACGGGUGAGUAAUGUCUGGGAAACUGCCUGAUGGAGGGGGAUAACUACUGGAAACGGUAGCUAAUACCGCAUAACGUCGCAAGACCAAAGAGGGGGACCUUCGGGCCUCUUGCCAUCGGAUGUUCCCAGAUGGGAUUAGCUAGUAGGUGGGGUAACGGCUCACCUAGGCGACGAUCCCUAGCUGGUCUGAGAGGAUGACCAGCCACACUGGAACUGAGACACGGUCCAGACUCCUACGGGAGGCAGCAGUGGGGAAUAUUGCACAAUGGGCGCAAGCCUGAUGCAGCCAUGCCGCGUGUAUGAAGAAGGCCUUCGGGUUGUAAAGUACUUUCAGCGGGGAGGAAGGGAGUAAAGUUAAUACCUUUGCUCAUUGACGUUACCCGCAGAAGAAGCACCGGCUAACUCCGUG
rnacentral:rRNA from 1 species